AGGAGUGUGAAAACUGCAGCUUAGAGGAGGAGCUGCGUCACGAAGGCGGGGCUAGGUCCAACCAGGCGUUUUGCACAGCUGAAUGGUUGCCACCGAAGAUUAGAAGAUUUCUCAGACAUUCAUGGAGAAAUCAAGGCAACACUCCAGUAACCAUAUGUUGUACCUUGGACCCAGACAAGCUGCCACAUUGGAACAUCAUGAAUUUUGAGCAUGCUGAAAACAGUCAGGGGGACCAAUAAGCAACCUUAAAUUGACUGGUGCGAUGCUUGGAGUACGGCAGCCUUUCUCCUCCCAGAGCUGCUGCCUGGUGGUGUUGAAGAGUGAACGGCGGUGAAGUGCGCGGGGGUUGUAUCUAUACAGUUUGUCCAGUUUUCUUUAACGUCUGACAACAGCAGAGGUUUUUAACUGCUGCUCACUGGAUAUUUUCUCCCUGUAAAGAGAGGAUUGUGUGUGAGGAUCCCAGCAGAUCAGCAGUUUCUGAACUUCUAAAAGCAGUCUGUCACGCACAAAAAGUGUACAUAAUAAAGUUGGCAGCGAAUGUC